GGGGUUGAUGCUUAUUGGUUAGGCGAGCUAGCUGUUAAUUAGUGUUGUGUAGGAUCGAAGCCUUCCAGUCCCU
rnacentral:tRNA from 1 species